UGAUAGCUUAAAGGCUUUCAGUUUCUAGGGAGGGAGAGAAAUGAGGCCCUGACCCUGGAGGAGGUGUCCAAGCACAACACCAAGGAUGACUGCUGGCUCAUCAUCGUUAGCAAGGAAACUGGCGUAGCCGCUGUACCUUGAGAUGCUGUUGUAGCUUCAGAUGCUGGACUGGAGCAAGUACCCUGAGGAUAGCAACUACGACACAUGGAUGAAAGGGUUAAUUGUGAUCAAGCGAAUGGUAUGGCAGCGAGGAGUACAUCUUCCAGUUCAAGUGUUUGGCAAUGAGGGACAAGUAUGAGAAAGGGUGAACAUAUGUUUUGCACGAGUCACUAUUUGCCAAGAAGCAGAAUAUUUGAGGAAGAAACUACUUAAACUGAUGACAUAUUUGGUGGCAUGGCAAAUUGCUAUUAGUUAGUUCUAGGUGCACCGCUAUUUUGUGUAGUUUGUAUGAUUGUUAGUUUUAUUUUGUCAAAUGUUGUGUUUUGGUUUGUAAAAUCAUUGUAACAUGAGGCUGAUUGACGGCAAUGUGAUUUGCUUUCUUCUUGAA